rnacentral:rRNA from 1 species
GACGAACGCUGGCGGCGUGCCUAAUACAUGCAAGUCGAGCGAGCGGAACCAACAGAUUUACUUCGGUAAUGACGUUGGGAAAGCGAGCGGCGGAUGGGUGAGUAACACGUGGGGAACCUGCCCCUAAGUCUGGGAUACCAUUUGGAAACAGGUGCUAAUACCGGAUAAGAAAGCAGAUCGCAUGAUCAGCUUUUAAAAGGCGGCGUAAGCUGUCGCUAAGGGAUGGCCCCGCGGUGCAUUAGCUAGUUGGUAAGGUAACGGCUUACCAAGGCAACGAUGCAUAGCCGAGUUGAGAGACUGAUCGGCCACAUUGGGACUGAGACACGGCCCAAACUCCUACGGGAGGCAGCAGUAGGGAAUCUUCCACAAUGGACGCAAGUCUGAUGGAGCAACGCCGCGUGAGUGAAGAAGGUUUUCGGAUCGUAAAGCUCUGUUGUUGGUGAAGAAGGAUAGAGGUAGUAACUGGCCUUUAUUUGACGGUAAUCAACCAGAAAGUCACGGCUAACUACGUGCCAGCCGCCGCGGUAA